UACGUAGGGUGCAAGCGUUGUCCGGAAUUACUGGGCGUAAAGAGUUCGUAGGCGGUUUGUCGCGUCGUUUGUGAAAACCAGCAGCUCAACUGCUGGCUUGCAGGCGAUACGGGCAGACUUGAGUACUGCAGGGGAGACUGGAAUUCCUGGUGUAGCGGUGAAAUGCGCAGAUAUCAGGAGGAACACCGGUGGCGAAGGCGGGUCUCUGGGCAGUAACUGACGCUGUGGCGCGAAAGCUAGGGGAGCGAACGGG
rnacentral:rRNA from 1 species